AUUGAACGCUGGCGGCAUGCCUUACACAUGCAAGUCGAACGGCAGCGGACCUUCGGGUGCCGGCGAGUGGCGAACGGGUGAGUAAUAUAUCGGAACGUACCUUUCAGUGGGGGAUAACGUAGCGAAAGUUACGCUAAUACCGCAUAUUCUGUGAGCAGGAAAGCAGGGGAUCGCAAGACCUUGCGCUGAUUGAGCGGCCGAUAUCAGAUUAGCUAGUUGGUGAGGUAAAGGCUCACCAAGGCGACGAUCUGUAGCGGGUCUGAGAGGAUGAUCGCCACACUGGAACUGAGACACGGUCCAGACUCCUACGGAGGCAGCAGUGGGGAAUUUUGGACAAUGGCGCAAGCCUGAUCCAGCCAUGCCGCGUGAGUGAAGAAGGCUCGGUGUAAG
rnacentral:rRNA from 1 species